UACAGAGGGUGCGAGCGUUAAUCGGAAUUACUGGGCGUAAAGCGUGCGUAGACGGUUAUCUAAGUCGGAUGUGAAAGCCCCGAGCUUAACUUGGGAAUUGCGCUUGUGACUGGCGAGCUGGAGUGUGGCAGAGGGAGGUGGAAUUCCACGUGUAGCAGUGAAAUGCGUAGAGAUGUGGAGGAACACCGAUGGCGAAGGCAGCCUCCUGGGCCAGCACUGACGCUCAUGCACGAAAGCGUGGGGAGCAAACAGG
rnacentral:rRNA from 1 species